UUGAUGAAAGGGAUCGCGGACUCUUCAUCUUCAUUUUCGUCGUAUACGAUUCAUGUGAUAUACGAUCAUACGAAGAGUCUUCAAGAGAUAAUUAUAAAUAGAUAUCGAUGGAUUUGAACCAAAAUCAAAAGUCGGCUACCUUCUUCCGACGGAUCUGAAGCAUCCAUUCGUCUUCCACUGAUUCCUCAUCAAAUCUCUCUCAAAACCCCUAAAUCGCUCACACAUCUCUCUUUUUCACGGUUGUUCUCUGGUGUGGCUAGAGCUGUUACUACUAUCGCAGCAGGCACUGUCACGUCUUUGCGCUCUGGGAAGGAUGAGCAGAUGGCUAAAACGAUGUGGUGAUUACUUCUGCCGGCAAACUUUGCGGAUACUCACUGCCGGUGUAACCACAGGUUUAAGAGGAGUGGUGACAUUGAGGACUAAUAAAGAAAGUUUGGAACAUUGCAUCAGUGAUUCCACUGGAUAAAAUGACUCACUGCUCUGAAAGAUGAACCAACGUUAAUAUGGUACCAGUGGAGGCUCGAGUAGUAGUCACAGUGGCAAACUUAUGGUAGCAGAGAAUGGCUCGCAAGAGGCUGUAAACUUCUCAAACGUACUCGCCAAGGUAACAAAGAUAAUUUUUUUUUUUUUAGUUACAUUUUUGUUCUUGAAUAUUUGCCUAUUGCUUUGUUACUUUUGCAAGUGAUCUCCACUUGAAAAAUAGCCAUGUUUACACCAACAAGAUGAAUCAGUUGCAAGAUCGUUGAUUUGAUGAAUAAGGUAUAAGAGGCCAAAUUAUUUAUGAACAGUGGGUAAUCUCUAGCUAGCUUCACAUGGAUGUGAACUUUGUUAUCAAACACAUAGUAAUAUUCCAAAUGGCGGGAUAAGAGGACAAAUCAGAAGCAAAAAUAAAGCUGAUAAAAAGCAUUCUUUAUGACAAUGAUGAUGAAAAUGAAGUGUUAUGGGAUCCACAUUUGUCUCUUACUCAAGCUUCUUCGUUGAGAAUCACGAAAUGGAAGACUGUAAAAGAUUAAUAGGCGUGAAGCAGCUCUCAAGUAUCUUAAAGAUUUCAAGUGGAAUAGAGUUGAAUAAUCUAAAAAGUUCACGUUUGAGCUUUUCUUUGUAGCCUAUUGCGCUGAAGAACAAUGAAAUUUCCGAUGACGAGGUUCCUUAUUAGGAUAUGUUUUUUUUAAAUGUUAUUCUCUUUAUUGAUGUUUUCCCAUGCUUAUAGCUAAAUAAGCAAGAAAAAGGAGCUCUCAGAUGCAACCAUCGCUAUCAAUUUCACCGCCUCACCCAGUUUGUUAAAAUGAUUGAAGACUGUUAAUCCGGUACCGCUUUAGCUCUUCAGCCUCUGGAGCUACAAACAACUCAUGUCAUUUGCAAAUACGAGAUGAUGAUGGAAAUAGAGAAGGUUAUUAAGAGAUAUAAACAGAUUUUCAUACUCCAGAACAAAAAGAAGCCAACAGAAACUACACUAACUCAAACUUCCCCUCGGAGUUUUAUCUCCAUUCUCUGCAUUAUUAUUGAAGCCAAUAUUUUUAAUACAAUGGAGUAUUCUUUUAAACGGGAUACCUCCAGUUUUUGCUAUAAUAGUUUUGAAACUCACAAGGUCGUCAACAAUGGUCAA